GAUGAAGAACGUAGCGAAAUGCGAUAAGUAAUGUGAAUUGCAGAAUUCAGUGAAUCAUCGAAUCUUUGAACGCACCUUGCGCCCUUUGGCUAUUCUGAAGGGCAUGCCUGUUUGAGUAUCAUGAACACCUCAACUCUCAUGGUUCGCCAUGAUGAGCUUGGACUUUGGGGGUCUUGCUGGCCUACGGUCGGCUCCUCUCAAAUGAAUCAGCUUGCCAGUGUUUGGUAGAGUCGCAGGUGUGAUAACUAUCUACGCUUGUGGUUUUCUGCCAGAUAACCUUCAGUGAUGGAGGUUCGCUGGAGCUUAUAAAUGUCUCUCCCCAGUGAGGACAGCUUUUUGAGCGUGUGAUCUCAAAUCAGGUAGGACUACCCGCUGAACUUAAGCAUAUCAAUAAGCGGAGA
rnacentral:misc_RNA from 1 species